GUCUUACUGUAGCUUUACACGUGUAGGCAAUUUGAAUAAAUCAGAGGGCGUAAUCCUUCUAGCUAUUACAGAGAUAGAAAAGCAAUUAAAUAUGUUAACCGAGCUCUCUUCUAGCAUUUGUCUGUGAAUGUCUCAACUUAGAACCUCAGGAAGAAUAUUAAUUAGAAGGGAAAGGAAAAACUGAGUGAAGCAGAGAAAGUUUCCAGUUAAAUGAAAAGUAGAUAACUAAGUUUCAUUAGGAUAGAAGUCAGCCAAAAUGCUGAUGGAAUAAAGAAAAUUGAAUUACAAAAUGAAGAAUGUGAAGUAGCCUCUCUAACUAGUGGCGUUCCUUAUUUAAAUUUACCAGCUGAAAAAGAAAAAGUUGGUUAACAUCAGAGCUACACCAUUGUUUUCAGUAGUUAUUGUUUAGCGUUCAUUGUCACAGCGACAGUGAUGCAAUCAUUUUCAGAUCUCGAUUCAAAGAUUGCAAUUACUAUGCAAAUACGUCAUGUAGUUAGAGGCUCGUAGAGAAUGAAAAGAGAGCAGUGUUAAAUGUACAUAGGUAUGAUGAAUCAUAAAAGAAACUUGAUGAUUUUCAUAAAUUCAGAUGAUGAUUUAAUUUGAAGCUAACAAUUGGAUGUAAAUUAUGUUCAAUUUUAUCCUGUCAAUUGGUUUCUUUAUUUCAUCAUUACUAAAUAAGGAUCCUUUUACAAGCAUGAUGAUCAAUCAAUCGCAGGGAACAAACGAAAACUUUCACGUGUAUGUACUGCACGCUACUCAAAGGAUCUUUAAAAGUGACCCAUUGGCACAAUCACUGGUAAUAAAAAAUUCACCGACAUUCAUAAAUCUAUCAAGGCUCGUUCGAGUCGUUUAUGGUCUGUUGCAUAAAAGAAUCCUCCAACUUCCAGUAUCAUAUAUCUUGAAUAUUUAAAGCAAAAAGAGGUGGACAAUUUUCAUGAAUUCAGUGGUGAAGAAUAAGUAUUUUGAAGAAGAUAUAGGAAGAAAGAGUACUAUGAGCAAUUUUCUAUUAUUUUCUAUUAUAAAUAAUUGCCCAAAGUCAUUCAAAUUUAAUGUAAAGUAAAAUUAAUCAAAGAAUCUUUUUCCAAAAUAAUUUUGUUUCAAAGUCAGAAACCUGUUGAGAAGAAUUACUGAGAAAGAUAUCGACGAUCCAGCUUACUGGAGAUUCAAGGAAAUUGCUAUUCCUUAUUCAGAAGUGAUUUAGAUUCUGAGGUAGAUAACGAAUGUGCAGCUUUUCCUAUCCAGCUCUUCCUAACACCUGGAGGCAAACGCAUACAUAUCGAUAAAUCAAUUACGAGAGACUCUGUGUGAUUCACCUCUGCAGAUUAAUCGGAGGGAAUCAGGGAAGAUCGUGUGGGAUACACUCGAUAAUUUGUUGACACCUCUCCCACUCUAUGGAGCACGUGAAUUGAGAUUUAUGAGCCUCGAGGUUUAUUGGCCUCGAUGCUGUAAUUAAUUAUAUUAAUUAGACAGACGUUUAAUCCUUUUAAAUUGUUGCUUCUACGAUAUUCUAUGCCAAUAUCUUUCUGCAUCAAUUUUAAUCAAUUCUUUAAUAUAACAAUGAAGUUUUUUAACGUGGAAGAAAUAGAAGAAUUGAUUUAGUUUUAUGAUAAGGGUACCUGUAUGAUUUUGAAAUAAAUUGCAAUUGAUUGAUUGGAGAGAAAUAGAUGAACGUUGUGAAGAAAUGUACUCACUUGAAGAUAAAACAUGUUGUGAGGAUAACAGGUUCACCAGCUAGGUGUGCCUCAAAUAAAGUCGCACCUUUUUGAAAGUACACUGUGGAAAGACAUGGAAAAUCAACCCUUUACAUAAGGAGCACACGUUUUUCAACCUUUUCUAAUCAUUAACAGUUGAAAUUCUCUUUGGGUAAUAAUUGAAUAGAAUUCCGAUCGUACAAUCGAUUCGCGCGAAUGCAUCAUGAGAAGCACGAUUUUAUCCUUAAACCUAGAUUCUCGAGGCUUAAUGCCAUCAGGAGCACAAUUUACUCCAUUUCGUAAUACUCUGAUGGUACAAAUAGAAAUGAACUUUAAUCUUCAAUAUAAAUUGAAAAAAUUAUUGAAACCCUUGUAACUUGUCGAAAUUUACAAAUAUUAAGAUUGUCAAAGUUUCAAAUUUAAUUGAUUGAACUUCACAAUUUGUAGCUAGGAAUCUUAGGUAAUUGUUAACAUUUGUAAAUUUCAUUUAACAGGAAUUCCAUUGUUCCUCUUUUCAAAGUCAUUUCAUGAUUGCAAGGUACCAGAUGAAAUAUAGGAAGAGCAUCAAGAGUAUAAAGUCAUUGUGCUGGCUGAAGGAACAUGAAGAAAUGAAGAAAAGGUUGUACAAAAUUAUAGUGUCCAAGAGAUUCCAUUUGUGGUGGAAGUAUAGAUCAUCGCAGUUUCAAUUUAAUGCGUGCUUUGCAACAUAAAGGGUUGAAUAGACCUCGACGACAUUUCACGGUUAACCACACCCUGACUUCGAUUGUUCUUAGCAUUGCAUGCAUACACACCACUCCCUGUCUACAAUGAAAGCAUUAUUGGAAUACUCUCCCCAUAAUGAAGCAAUGACAACCUCCAACAUGAAACAGCAAAAUAACACAUAUGUAGAUGAAUAUCACUCGACAGAUAGAAGAACUGCUAAUCCAAAUUUCAUGGGAACAAACAGAAGGCACCGUGGUUUCACCAGGGGUUGGUUGAACAACGGAACGUCACCGAGGUCAUGAAGAUUAAAACGUCUCUGAGCGUGCCACCCUUACGGAUACCCGCGUAUCAAUAUAUCUGCCCACGUGUGUACCGUCGAAUACGAUAUCGUUGCACUCCGCCACGGCUGUGAAUAAAGUCAGUACGUAACUGCUCGGCAUGCUGGCAGGUUGGGUUUAUAUAGCGUGGGUCUAAUAAGAGAUGAUACUUGAACGCCACAGUUGGGACCGGGCCCCCAAGAAGAAAAGAAGAGGGGACCGCGUUGCCUUGUUUCACCUUACCUUGCCUCACCUUGCCUUAGAACCUUGUUCAGAUCAAACUGGGCAAGAUGAAUCUUGCACCACUUUCAUACUCUGUGCGCGCAAACUUCAUCUCUUAUGCCCUCCAGGUAUUUUUCAUAAUUAGAAGUCUUCAGAGAUAGCUGGAGAAGAAUAUUGGAAUAUCGAAGAAUCAUCCAAAAGACUUCUGAACCGCCGCUUUAUAUGGUGUAACUUUCAUUAACUAUCCCAGCAGUAAGAAACAUCAUUAUGGAUCCAAUCGCUGCUUCAUCAAGUACAGAAGCUAAUGGUAGAUAAAAUCAGUCCAACAGGUGUAUCCAACAAGGAACAUGAAUCAUUCUGAUGAUCAGCUUGGGCACCAAGUGUUAGAGAGAGAGAAUAGAAAUUGCGGAACUGUUGGUUGUAGUAAUUUCCUUGAUUCGUUGCUACAGGUCCAUUCAAAAAGCAGGACAGUGCGAAUGAUUUAGUCAGCCAUCGUGGGAAGGCUAAUACGGAUCAAAGCGAACCAAAUGAUCUUUCCAGCCACGUGAGCUGACUCUUCUACGCCUGAAGGGUGCAGCAUGAAGAAGUCAUUCCAUCGACUAUCGUGCUACGAAUCGACAAGGAUUUGAUAUUUCAUAUAGGUGCUCGAAACCCAACCGAACAGGCUCGAUGCUCUAUUGAUAUAUUGGCUCUCAUAACUCCUGCCUUUUUCUGGUCAUUGUUACACCAUGAAAAUGGAUAACUGCAAAUGUUCCUCUGAUGGAAGAUUAAUGGAAAGCUGAUGGUGAGGGAUGUUUAUAUUCUUUGGAGUUUCAUUUCUAAGCAAAUGAUUACUGGAUGGAAAGGAUUUAUGUUAAGAUAGUAAGCUUUCUUCUGAAGAUGAAGAUUCUCUAAUUCUUCAUGUACUCCUUUCAAAUUUGAGUUAAGUGCAAAGAGCUGUUCGAGGAGUCAGGGAGUAACAAGAAUCCAAGAAACAUUUUCCUUCGAAGGAAUCCAUUUUCACCGAAGGUACAUCCUUGGUGCAUAGCUUUAGCAAACCAGAGAAAGGCACGCACGCUCGGAAUUGCUCGGCGAGCAAUCCGCCUUCUGCCCCGUAUUUACCUGCAUCCAGCAACACUGAGCGGAGACCAGGAGGACUCGUUCGAAAUGAAUUAAAAUACAAUGGACAGCGAAUGAUCUAUGGUGAUGUUUGAAAAUUAUAGAACAUCCUCCUCCACCAUUGAGUUGGAGGGAUAUGCAUCGUUGGCUCGUGGGAAGUGGUGCGAAAAUUGUUGCGAAAUCUCUGCACUUUGUGCCUGUAUACAAGAGGAGGACGUCCAUCUCGAGUGGGUUGUAUCUUACCUUGCGAAAUCUACGCUAGAACGGGUGUUGCACGAAUUAUUUGACGAUUACGAGUCGCGGUUUUACGCCCACGCUGAAAGAUGUUCAUUAAUGGAUUCGUCAUAAUUUUAGUACAAAGCAUUUCUUCAGAAUGACGAGCGCUUCUUUGCACAGCGUGAUGCAAACAGAUCCUAUAUAUUUGUUAAGAAAGGAUUUCUAAGAAUUUGUAUGUAACAUAAUUAUUAUAUAGACAUUAGCAGUUAAUAUUUGAAAGAAGAAAUUUAUUUUGAAGAAUUUAAAUGUACGACCUAUGCACAAAGUUUCAUUUUUCCACGGUCCUCUCUGGCAAAAUCUUGCGUAUCGAUGGGAACCCUGAGAAAUCGACGUGAAUUUUUUUCAGCAAGGAAUUUUAUGCAAGUAAGAACCAAGGUGUUCAAAAUAACAUUAAGGUAAUCUUGAAGCAACCAUCAUUGAAUUACCUCUGAUUAGAUUGCAUUAAGUGUUUUAUAAAAUUGGUCAUCAAACAUUUAUAUUUAUCAAAAUAAUUUUUGGAACCUUUUUUGUACAAGGAAUCAAAAUACUGUUGAAAAUUAAUAUUGGAACGCUCUGUAUGAUCCUGUAAUUAAACAAGGAUACUGCUACUGAUUUUAAGAAGAGAUGAUGAAGAUUGUUCAUUAUGAAAGCACAGAGCAUUGCGUUAGAAUCAGCAGCAUGAGAACGUCCAUUUACUCAUCGACAGGAGCAAAAGAAUCAGAAACGAUUAGAAGUUACAUCGAGCGUUACACGUUUUCAUUGAGGCUACCGAGUCGAAUCAAAGCUGACGCGCGGUAAACUCUUCUGGAAAUCUAUCAAUUAUAUCAAAGAGAUAUUCGUGUCAAAUUGAAACGGUGCUUAGAGAUGACGGUUGUGCAUCAAACAGGCUUCAGGCCGUUCCUUCUAACCAGUUCCAAGCUAUUACAAAAUUGAAACUGAAGCCUUCAGAGAAUGUUUCAUCCGAGGCCUACUUCAAUUGGAACAAUGGCAAUCUACUCGGCUCUACUUGUCUUCUAAAACAACGACCGAUGAAUUAUGACCAUGACUGUUGGGCGUAACAGAGGUCGGCUUGAAAACGGGAGGAUCCUGAUUUUAACGCGGAUCCUCUGUUGGGGGGAGGAGUCCAAGCGGAACGGGGUUGAGUUCGCACGUGUGCCGCGAAUUCAAUGGAAGGUUAUGAAGAAUAUCCGCGCCUCUGUCGAAGUUGCGUGUCAUACGUUGAACGGCUUCUUUUUCGCCUUUGUCUGGCUUGCAUCUAACUAGGCAUUCCCUCGGUCAGGAUGAAAGUGAAAAUCUACUGGUCGUGGAUGACCUACUGGUUGCCAAGAAUCUAGGUGCCCCGUCGCAUCACGCUGCCGUGUACACCUCUUCUUGGCUUUUGAACACCUUUGUGGGGUAGAUUGAUGAAAUUGAAUUGCAUUUCUCUGGGUAUAAAUUAUUUGGUACUUUUGAUAUUACACUUUCCUAGUUACUAUUUUAAAUUCGACUACUUUUCCCGCGCUUUUGUGAAUUUUAAAAAUGGCGCGAGAAUAUGAUAAUUGUAUAACUUCGCAAAAAGAAGGCAAUUAAUUUGUACAUCUAAUAAUUGGUGCCAUGCAGCAUUUCAGUUUUCUUUAGUCAUCUGAGAAAGAGAAAUUACUUCAAUAAGUGUUUUUGAAAGGAAAUUGAACUUCAAGAUACUUUCUGAAGAUAUGAUAUAUUUUUUCUCUGGAUGAUACAAUAUUUCUGCACAUGAGAAUUUAUGUAAGAAUAUCAAAGUGUAAUCAUUGAAAAUGAAAUAUGAGAAUUAUAAGAUUUACGAGAUUAUGUGAACGCAGCAGGGUAUAUUAUUUAAACGGAGAAAUUAGCAAUUGCAAUGGUGAUCGGUAAAUGUCAAUGUCAAAAUACUCGGCUGAUUAUCGUGUACGAAAAAGGAAACCGGUGAUUUUCAUGGAACACCAUGUUGAAACGAGGACAGGAGGCUCGUUAAAUGCGUCACGGGUCAUUAUAGAAUCGUAGUACAGUUUACAGUACCCUUUAUACCAUCAAUGAUGGAGAUACCGUUUAAUGAUACACAGUAAGCUUUUAUGAACUGUGAAAAGUUACACGGAUACAUGUAGAAUUCUACCAUUGGAUAUUCUAAAAUUUAGAGUUUCUAAGCUUCAAGUUCUAAGCUUGAAAGCUUUAAGCUCACAAAUUUCAGAAUUUUCAAAAUUGAAGGUCAUAAAUCUUAGGGUUUUUAAUUUAGAAUCCUAAGAUUUCAGAAUUUUUACAAAUGAAAUCCAUAAAUCUUAGGAUUUUUUUAAUUUAGAAUCCUAAGAUUUCAGAUCCUCAAUUAAAGCUCUGAUAUCUGCAAAAUUGAUAAGUAUCCCAUCAUAUCACAAUUCUUCAUCACCUAGCAUAAAUAGCAUUUAAACGUCAAUUAGAACAAGAAAGGACGGUAAUCCUUGGAUCCAAUCUUCCUAAGAUUUCAUCAUUUGAAGAGGAUGGUCUCUCCCUUCUGCCAAAACCAUGGAACGAGUUCACCACGCUCUUCCAACCGCGUAGAAGCGUGUAAAACACGCCCUAUUAUCGUUCUCUUUUUUUCUUUCAACGUAUUUUCAUCCUCGUGAAUACGUAUCUUCUCAUUCUCUUGGAUCAUUCGAAACGUUCCUGACAUUUCGGUCGCCUCAACCUUAAAGUCUUGCCACCCGAGACCGUGGCUGAUCGCUUGCGUGAUCUCUCUUAUAUAAGUGAGCCUGAUCUAAAUCUUGAAAUGUGAGGGACUCAAAUGACAAGCAAGGACUAACGUGAUUGGAAAUGGAGGAACGUUUGGGUUACUUUGGAGGAUAGUUAGAUCUUCAGAGUACUCAAAGAUAUCUCUUUUAUUAAUUUACCUAACUUUAUAGGGGUUUCUUCACUGAAGAAAUAAGUUAUGCUUUUGUUUAUUAUAUUAUAGAGGGUGAAGAUAUUUCUUUUAUUAUUUUACUUAAUUUUUUAAGGAUUUCUUCACUGAAGAAAUAAGUUGUGCUUUUGUUUAUUAUAUUAUAGAGGGUGAAGAUAUUUCUUUUAUUAAUUUACUUAAUUUUUAAGGGUUUCUUCACUGAAGAAAUAACUUGUGCUUUUGUUUAUUAUAUUAUAGAGGGUGAAGACAUUUCUUUUAUUAAUUUACUUAAUUUUUAAGGGUUUCUUCACUGAAGAAAUAAAUUGUGUUCUUGUUUAUUAUAUUAUAGAGGGUGAAGAGAUACUUGAAGAUAUUUCUUUUAUUAAUUUACUUAAUUUUUAAGGGUUUCUUCACUGAAGAAAUAAGUUGUGCUCUUGUUUAUUAUAUUAUAGAGGGUGAAGAGGUACUUGAAGAUACUUCUUUUAUUAAUUUACUUAAUUUUUCCAUGGUUUCUUCACUUGUGGUUAAGGAAAUUGUAAGAGUAUUUAACAAAAUUUAAAAAGAAUCAACUAGAAUUGCUUCCUUCUGGAAUAUAUAAAUUGAAACACACUGAAGAAAAUACAAUUUUCCUUAUCUACUCGACAAAAUUUAAUAAAACACACAAUUGGUGGAAUGAACAUUGUUGCUGUCGAAUUUUUCUUCCCAUACCGAUCUCGUUUGUCGAAGUAAAGGACGCCAUGGUGAACUUUUACUUCGCCUUAAACUUUAAACACAUCACGGUGCAACCUAACGACCGUCCUCUUUUGUUUGUUCUCAUAAAGGAGACGAACAGAGGAAUGCUAUUAUAGUUCACCGGGUUAUCGUCAAUCAGUCAUGCUCAGGGGAUAAUUAAACGACUUAAAUGCUCGUCCCAUGAAAUCUCGAUUCUAAAGUCCAUUUUUUUUUUUUCUCUCCUUUACAUCAAGAAGAACCGUAAACGAAGGAUAUUUUCCUGAUAAAAGUAACCCGUUACCUGUUUUGCUCGUAUUUAUUCUUUUAUAACCAGACAGGAACGGGAACUUUCUACGUCUUAUGUAAAAAUAAUAUGAAAAGAAGAAAAUUAAACGUAAGCAUAAAAGUAACGACGAAGGUGUUUUUUUGCUUGUUUUAUUGUGCACCAAUGCGCGUAAUUUUCUUUGAGGAAUCCGUGAAUGAUCGAAACGUCCGAUCUCGCUUGGUAAUAAAGUCGGUACCCUUCUUCUUUUCUUCUUCAUUUUCAAAACAACGAUUGCGUAAACAGGAUCUGAAUUUAUACGACCGUUUAAUUUUACCGAACGAUCAAGGAAAUGACGUAAAAGUUUGUUUUACGAACGUCCCCCGGUGGUCUGUGCCGUACGGUUAAUGAGACUUUUUGAAUUGGGAACAAUGAAAGGAGCAUUCGCGUUUAAAACGAAUUCGUACGAUUUAAUGGUAAUAAAAAGAAA